CCUACGGGUUGCAGCAGUGAGGAAUAUUGGUCAAUGGGCUUACGCCUGAACCAGCCAAGUCGCGUGAGGGAAGACUGCCCUAUGGGUUGUAAACCUCUUUUGUCAGGGAGCAACGCCUGCUACGUGUAGCCUGACUGAUAGUACCUGAAGACAAAGCAUCGGCUAACUCCGUGCCAGCAGCCGCGUUAAUCCGGAGGAUGCGAGCGUUCUCCGGAUUUAUUGGGUUUAAAGGGUUCGUAGGCGGAUUGCCAAGUCAGGGGUAAAAUUGCGGGGCUCAACCUCGCUCCGCAGUUGAUACUGGCGGUCUGGAGUGGGGGUGAAGUAGGCGGAAUGCGUGGUGUAGCGGUGAAAUGCAUAGAUAUCACGCAGAACUCCGAUUGCGAAGGCAGCAUACCGGAGUGCAACUGACGCUGAUGCACGAAAGUGUGGGUAUCGAACAGGAUUAGAUACCCCUGUAGUC
rnacentral:rRNA from 1 species